rnacentral:lncRNA from 1 species
UUGUCAGGGUUUGACGACCUCUCUCUAUCACGAGGACUGUAGCUAGUACCACGUCCAUCAGGACUCCCCUUCUCCCUCCCUCUCCCAUAAGGACUAGGACUUCGGUUGGGGACUCGGUCAUCAUUUGGUCUUUCCCUCUGAUGGGAAGGUCUAUGGCUGGGAGUCCUAACAUGGUCGCUUGAUCUCUCUCUCUCCCUCCUAUAAGGACUAUGAUUGGGACUACGACCUCGACCAUAAUCAGGAGAACCCCUCUCCCUCUCUCUCUGGUAAGGACUUGGACUACGACGGCUACCAUAAUCAGGACUAGCUCUUUGUCUCCUAUAUGGACUGCGGCUAAUACCAUUUCCGUAAUCAGGGCUUCCUCGCUCUCUUCUAUAGGGACUUGAGGAUCGCCUUUUUCUAUCGGGAGACCUAUCACGAUUCCUAUCAGGACUAUAUCCAUUUCUCUUAUCAUCAUCAUCUCUAACAGCAUAUUCCACUGAAAUCACUCGAUCCAUCAAUUUGCUGUAAACAAUAAUAAUAGUUCAAGGCAUAACAAUAACUGAUCAAGUACAUAAUGGCCUAUAAUAAACAAGAGCAAAUAACAAUGUACAUUUUCCUUCAGAUGGUCUCAGUGCGUCAGGGGCAAAGGGAGAUUAAUUAAUCAACCUUCAAUAAAUGACCCUACUACACAGCAUUAAUUUUUUAUUCAAUUCAACAAAGAAAAGCUCACACUCACCUCAUGUUUGUCAGCUCCAAUGCUCUAGUGGCAUCCUCCUGCAAUUCAUACUGGACAAAUGCAAAAUUUCUUCGAAUCCUUACACUCAAUAUCUUACCAUAAGGAUCAAAGUGCCUCUCUAAAUCCCUUGUCCUAGUAUGAUAUGGGUCAAAGUUGAUAACAAACAAAGUCUUUGAAGGUCUUGUAUUAGUCGAGGAUCUCCUCGAACCUCCUCCUCCUCCACCUCCACCACCACCACCACCUCCACCUGGACCUGGUCUUCUAAUCCCACGUUCUUGCUACAAAGCAAAAGAAUGAUUGAUCGAGGAACAUUUUGAAGUUACAGUAACUACAAUCAAAUAAAAUUUCCACAAAGGGAUUGAAAGUUAAAAGUCCAUUGGGAGUUACAGAAUAUCAAAGUAUAUUACUUUGGUCCACUCAACACGUAGUCUACGACCCUUUCGACCAAAUUCUCGCCGAUCAAGUGCACGAAUGGCAUCCUCAGCAUCUCUCUCAUCCUCCAUAUAAAUAAAAGCAAAACCUGUAAACCAAUCAAACAGAACAAAAAAUAUAUAAUUAUGGUAUCUGUGAGACACGAAAUUAAGGAAUUCCUCGAAAUGAACUAUUAAUUUUCUCUCUAAUAAUAUUCAACAAAACACAAAAUCUUACCAUAAGAAAGAAAUAUUCGCAACCUUCGUGAAAUCUAUAAACUAAGUUAUCAGUGAAUUAAGCAACAGACCUUGUGUAUGAACUAAGUGAUGUCAAGGAGCAAUAAUCCAAAACAGGAUGUCUCAUGGUAGGUCUACAAAUAGAAAGUGCCUUCUCGAAUAUUCUGCAGCCUCAGCUGAGGUUGACAAUGUUUCAACCUUGAAAAAAUGUAUGGAUUGUAGGCAUGCAAAAGUCAUGAGGAAUGGAAACUGGAAAGCAAAGUGUCGGAGGAAAAUGUAAGAUGGCGGUGCCAUUUGAGGAUCGCUAUGAAUCUUCUUGGAAACAAGACAAAGCUUGUCCUAGGCGGAACACUCAAUUCUGAAGAGCCAUCUUUAUCCAAGAGGAUUAUGAAAUAUGCGAAGAAAAUCCUGCACCAAAGAAAAUUCUGGCCAAGGUGGUUUAGGAUUUAAAAAACAUCCUUUUUUUUUUCUCAAAUAAUUUUUUAGAACCCCCCAUCAAAAAUCCAACAAAAUUCAGGUUCUACGGUUUUUUCAUAUGCUGGAUGAUGCAGAAUCGUACUGCAAGGCACCAAAUGCGAUGAGAACAACCUCUACUUUGGGGGAAUUACCAACAGUUGAAUUGCCUUGCCAACGUUGUAUCCAACAGUUUCUUGGUGGAUCGUGAGUAACUUCGCCAGUUCAGUAUAUCGCAUAGAUUCAAAAUUUGCAAGUGGCUCGUAACAACAUGAUACAAAUUAUACAAACUUUAAAAUGAAUUCACAAAUCAUAACACAAACGUCCUAUGUUGUGUUUCUAAUAUAUGUCUGAUAAAUUUCUCAUCAAAAAUAAAAAAGGAAUCCAAACACACAAAAAAAAAUGCUACAGAUAGAAGCUCACCAGAUUUCAUAUCUACUCUAUCAACUUUUCCGUAUCGACUAAACAGCCUUUCCAAAUCAGGCUGGCGAGCAUCAUACUCGAAGUUUCCACAAAAAAUCGGCUUCAUACUACCUGAACAGAAAUCGGAAUAGAAAAAUACAACAGUCAACACAUCGCUCUCACAAUACAAGGAUAACAAUAAAAUAAACAUUCAAAUGCAACAUCAGAGUUGAAGAAACCUAAUUUCAAUUCAUGAACAAGAAAACUAUUUCAAACUAAUCUUAAGAGCAAAGAGUAUAUGGAAAGAACUAUGCACUUACCGUUUCAAAGCAAAUCGUGAAGUGUAUGAGCAAGCUCCUUUCGGCUGUGAGUUUGAGGCUGCCGACGGAGAUCGAUUAACGCAGUGUGGAUUGGCCGGAGAGGUAGCGAGAGGUACGGUAUGCGGACUGCGGCUGUGGGGAAAAUGGGAUUUAGGGUUUUCCUUUUUUUUUAACCCUAAUUUUCAUAUACGAAAUAAUUUCAAAUGUUUCACUUUCUUUUUCCCUUUUUGAGGAAAAGAAAAUACAAAACUAAUCUGUAAAAUAAAAUGAGUUUAUUUUGUUUUUUUAGUAACCACUGCUCUCAUGACCCUUCCCUUUAAAACCAUUCUUCUACUCCAAAGCAAACUAGCGUUUGUAUUAUCAAGUUUAUGUUUGAUGGGUUGUCCAAAAAGUCUAUACUCGACCCCCUCACUUUAGUAGGGUUGAACUUUAGAUGAACAAGUCAGGAAUUUUUGUAUCUGUAAUGUAAAUAGUUGAUAAUGUAUAAAAUUAAUGUUUUUUUAGUAGUGGAAUCCAUAAACUCUUUAGUCAAAUAAACAGUGAAAUUCAUAAAUCACUGCUUUCAGACUUUUUAAGUCAAAUACAUUUGCAGAGAAUUAUUGUGUCUAUUUGAAAUAAAGUGAAGAUUUAGAAUUUAAAAAUAAAUUUUCUAAUAAAAUGGGAUAGUUGCCUAUCAAAUUUAGUUUUUUCUAAAACAAAUCAUGGCUAACAAAUGUAGACGCGAAAUAAAUUAUAUUUCAUUUAACAAACAUUUUCAAAUUUAAUUUUAUCGUAAUUUUAAUUAUCUCGUUUUACCAACUAUAUUUUAUACAUUGAAAAAAUAAGUUCACUUUAACUGAAGUUGUUCGAUUGUCUACCUUCACAAAAAAAACUAUAUUUUAUAUGUUAUUUAAUUCAAUUUUAUUUGUGGAUGUUAUUUUAAUUCAUUUUGAAUGUUUUUUUAAUUAUUUUUAUUUGAUUAUUUUGAUUUGUCAUUGGCUAUGAUUUAAUUAUAGUCUUCCAUUCAUAUGAUUCGAUCAACAAAAUAGCAUUUCAAACUUGAUAUGUGAUAUCUAUAUCUAUAUUAAAAGUAAAAAGUGUUUGAAAAACACUUUAGCCUUUUGAAUUUUUAAUAAAUUACAAAUAGUUGUUACAAUAGAAGGAAGUCAAUACAAAAUUGUGAGUAAUGAAAAAGUAAAAGAAAAGGAUUCAAAUAUAUUUAAUUUCUAACGGUCAAUUAAAUAUCACAUUGAAAACUGUCAUAAUUAUAUUUAAAAAAACAACCAAAAGUCUGUUAGCCUUCUCUCUCUCUUUCACUUGACAAAUAUAAAUAAUAAAGUAGACAACAUUGAACACAACCAAAAUAAAAGCAUACACACAAGUUGAGGAGAGCUAGGAUACGAGAUUUGCUGUAAACGAUUAAAGUGAUUUACGACAAGUAUACAAUUGACAUGACCUAGAGUUUGGGUUGCUACUCAAACAUGUAUAUGUGAUUUUAUUGGUGGCCAAAAGUUUUUUUUGUUGUUGGAUUAAGAAAAUACGGUAAAGUAACAAAGAAAGAUUCUCUAAGUGCUCGUGUUACGAUAAUGUCUAAGGGCUUGUUUGGACUGGAUAUCUUAGCUCACUCCUUGUUUGGGUUUCAAAGUUGCAUAAUAGAGAAAUAUCAUUUAUACCUUCCCAACUCCCAUGUAACACACCUCAACCAACUCCAUCGAAAUCCACUUGUCUUCUUCAUCCUGUUCGUUUUCUUCUCUAAAUAUGAGGCACCUUCAACAUUUUUUCUUUUUGUCCUCUCCGAAUCUACACUCUAUACUAUUUGGGAAGGGUAAGGAUAAUUGAUUAUGAGAAUAUAUAACAUGUGAAGUAAAAUAGGGUAAGGAUAAUUGAUUACGAGAAUAUAUAACAUGUGAAGUAAAAUUAGAUCAAAUAUAUACGUUAGUAUACAAUGUGAGUGUUUUUAUGUAAUAUUUUAUUAAUUUUAUUGUAUAAGAAGUUUAAAUUUUAGUUUUUAUGUUUAAACACUUUUUAAUUUAAAUGUUUGAGUUAAAGGGUACGUAACUCAAUCGAUAUGCAAUAAUCAAUAUGUAACAAGUGAUCGAGAGAUUCGUAGUUUAAAUCUCACACUAUUGUACUAUCUUCCAAUGAUAGAUUGACUAAUAAAAAGAUAUGUGGUAUAAUAUUUAGUUUUAAGAUUGACAAAAACUUUUAAAUUUAGAAGGAUAACUGAAAAGGAAGUUUCUUUUUUUUUUAUCUAUUUUUCUCAACUGAAUAUUAUGUGUAGUAAAUUUUUAGUCAAUUUUAAUAUUCUCUAAAAGUUUUUUAAAAAAGCUCAAUAGAAAACGCUUAAGACACAAAAGACUAAAUGAAAUUGUUAAAAUGUGAUGCAAACUAAAUUGAAAAAUAAUCCAACGUUGGGGGCAAAUAAAAUCUAUAUAUUUAUCUUUAAAAAAAUUAUUCAAAGUAAAUAUAGAUUAUAUUGUGAAAUAUCUAAAAUUAAAUAGUUUAAAAAAUAAUUGUAUUAAAUAAUGUUUAAAAGUAAAAAGAUCAAAAAUUAAAAAAUUACACGUGCAUUGCACACUAGGACAAACAAAAACAAAAUAUCCGAUGGAUGAAUGACCCUUAAGGGGUCUUAACGAAAGACGAGAACCUUCUUAAAAUUGGAUAAAAAGUGGCUUUAUGUUGAUGUCAUUCACAUUUGAAGGUACCAAUUUGACCUCAAAAUGUGUGCAAGGACCUUUUUUUAGCUUUUAAGACAAAUUUAUUCAUCAUAGUGCUCGAGUUUUAAAAGUAAUUGUUUCUCGAAAAAAUUGUCGUUCUUCUAAAACUAACACUUCUGUAUAAAUAAUAUGUGAAUCUACCAAACAUUCAGAUUAUAGAUGAUAUGAAAAAAAUACAAAAUACAAAAAAUCACAACUUCAUAUUUAUUUUUCAACCAAAUAGAUCAAUAAAAACUUGAAUUAAAAUUUUAACAUAAUUUUAAAAGUGAUAAAAAGAAACAAGAAAGAAAAAGAGUACCAUGUUUGUAAAUUAUUUUUGCAAAUAAUAAUAAUUAUUAUUAUAAUAACAAAUGAAAAGAUAUUUGCUACAUGGUUUAAUUUUCCAUGUUUAAAAAAAUAAUUGAGAAAUAUAUAAUUGCUUCAGUGAAACAUAAUUACAUCUAAAACCAAACCAUAGGAUUGAUUCUUUCAAAAUUUAAGAUAUGUUAUGAGAGUGAUUAAAAUAACUUUUAUCAUUUUUGAAAUCAUUCCACAAAAAUGCUUUUCAAUCAUUUAAGACCAACUUUGAUGGCAUAAAAAUACAUUUAAAAAUAUCAAAAGCACUAUCAGGAUUUUAGAAGCAUUGUUGAUAAUGAUAUAACCCAAAACAGUGCUUUUAAACUGCCAAAAGCAACAGUCACUCACUCUUAGCUAAGAUCAGAGUGCUAUGUAUUUUGAUUGUUAACUAAAAUCUGGUAACACCAUAUCCAUAGAAUCGCUACAAACUGCAGAAGCACAAAUGUAAAGAAAUCACAAAACUUUAUCCUUGCAAGUACAUGUGUUUACCACUAAUGCUGGUUAUACAACUAAACAUACUCUGAAGCAGAUUGAGAUCAUCAACAUCACUUCCCACCUUCUAGUUCAUCAUUCCUCUGCUUGUGGUGAACGGCUGCUGCAAAACCAUAACACGAACACAGGCAUAAGACAAAAAAAUUCGAAAAAUAAUCAAGAAUAGUAAUACUAAAAACAAUCAAAUGAACUCGUAGUACAAACCUGUUAUAACCCCGAUGCUUUGGGCUCUGAGUGCCACUAUAACUGGGGCACUCACCAGGUUCAGCUACUGUAUUCUCCUGGUGAUCAUGACCAUUGUCCGGGUUCAACCUUUCUCUAUCACGAGGACUAUAGCUUCUGCCACGUCCACCAAUAGGACUCCCCCUCUCCCUCUCUCUCCUGUAAGGACUAGGACUUCGGUUGGGGAUUCGGUCAUCAUUUGGUCUUUCCCUCUGAUGGGGAGGACUGUGGCUGGGAGCCCUAAUAUGGUCACUUGAUCUCUCUCUCUCCCUCCUAUAAGGACUAUGCUUGGGACUACGACCACGGCUAUAAUCGGGAGAUCCUCUCUCCCUCUCUCUCUGAUAAGGACUCGGACUACGGCGACUUCCAUAA